rnacentral:misc_RNA from 1 species
GCUUAUGCGAAUAACCCAGGGCGCUGUGUAGAAAACAAAUUUCAUAACUUCAACACCAAAAAACAAGCAGAAAAAAGAUACAGAAGCAGAAACCUAAAGAUAGCAAAAACUUAAUCUUUCAUUUGAAUAUGAAAUAUUCUUGUGUUAUUGAGAUGUCAUAGUUCAUUUUAUUGUUCAAAAGGUUAGACCAGGGUAUAUAUUCUCUCAACAUAACAUAAUAAUCAAUGUGACAAUAAAUAAUCAGCUUCAGCUCCUCCAUCAUUGCCAAUCAUCCAGACAUAUUUAUAGAAUUGACAACAGAGAAAAU